rnacentral:rRNA from 1 species
UGGACGCAAGUCUGAUGGAGCAACGCCGCGUGAGUGAAGAAGGGUUUCGGCUCGUAAAGCUCUGUUGGUAGUGAAGAAAGAUAGAGGCAGUAACUGGCCUUUAUUUGACGGUAAUUACUUAGAAAGUCACGGCUAACUACGUGCCAGCAGCCGCGGUAAUACGUAGGUGGCAAGCGUUGUCCGGAUUUAUUGGGCGUAAAGCGAGUGCAGGCGGUUCAAUAAGUCUGAUGUGAAAGCCUUCGGCUCAACCGGAGAAUUGCAUCAGAAACUGUUGAACUUGAGUGCAGAAGAGGAGAGUGGAACUCCAUGUGUAGCGGUGGAAUGCGUAGAUAUAUGGAAGAACACCAGUGGCGAAGGCGGCUCUCUGGUCUGCAACUGACGCUGAGGCUCGAAAGCAUGGGUAGCGAACAGGAUUAGAUACCCUGGUAGUCCAUGCCGUAAACGAUGAGUGCUAAGUGUUGGGAGGUUUCCGCCUCUCAGUGCUGCAGCUAACGCAUUAAGCACUCCGCCUGGGGAGUACGACCGCAAGGUUGAAACUCAAAGGAAUUGACGGGGGCCCGCACAAGCGGUGGAGCAUGUGGUUUAAUUCGAAGCAACGCGAAGAACCUUACCAGGUCUUGACAUCCAGUGCAAACCUAAGAGAUUAGGAGU